rnacentral:rRNA from 1 species
AGAGUUUGAUCCUGGCUCAGAAUCAACGCUGGCGGCGCGCCUAACACAUGCAAGUCGAGCGAGAAAGGGAGCAAUCCUGAGUAAAGCGGCGUACGGGUGAGUAACACGUAGGUAUCCACCUCUUAGUGGGGAAUAACUCGGGGANACCUGAGCUAAUACCGCAUAAGUCCGAGAGGAGGAAGCAGCAAUGCGCUGAGAGAGGAGCCUGCGGCCGAUUAGCUAGAUGGUGAGGUAAUGGCUCACCAUGGCGACGAUCGGUAGCCGGCCUGAGAGGGCACACGGCCACACUGGCACUGAAACACGGGCCAGACUCCUACGGGAGGCAGCAGUGGGGAAUCUUGCACAAUGGAGGAAACUCUGAUGCAGCGACGCCGCGUGGACGACGAAGCCCUUCGGGGUGUAAAGUCCUUUCGACCGGAACGAUAAUGACGGUACCGGUGGAAGAAGCUGCGGCUAACUACGUGCCAGCAGCCGCGGUAAUACGUAGGCAGCAAGCGUUGUUCGGAAUUACUGGGCGUAAAGAGUUCGUAGGCGGUGCGGCAAGUUCGGUGUGAAAUCUCCCGGCUCAACUGGGAGGGUGCGCUAAAUACUGCCGUGCUAGAGUAUAGGAGAGGUAAGCGGAAUUCCUAGUGUAGCAGUGAAAUGCGUAGAUAUCAGGAGGAACACCUGUGGUGUAGACGGCUUACUGGACUAUAACUGACGCUGAGGAACGAAAGCGUGGGUAGCAAACAGGAUUAGAUACCCUGGUAGUC